GAGUUUGAUCGUGGCUCAGAAUGAACGCUGGCGGCAUGCCUAACACAUGCAAGUCGAACGAAGGCUUCGGCCUUAGUGGCGCACGGGUGCGUAACGCGUGGGAAUCUGCCCUUGGGUUCGGGAAUAACAGUUAGAAAUGACUGCUAAUACCGGAUGAUGUCGUAAGACCAAAGAUUUAUUCGCCCAAGGAUGAGCCCGCGUAGGAUUAGCUAGUUGGUGGGGUAAAGGCCCGACCAACGGCGACGAUCCUUAGCUGGUCUGAGAGGAUGAUCAGCCACACUGGGACUGAGACACGGCCCAGACUCCUACGGGAGGCGAGCAGUGGGGAAGUAUUGGACAAU
rnacentral:rRNA from 1 species